GACGAACGCUGGCGGCGUGCUUAACACAUGCAAGUCGAACGAAGUGGCGAACGGGUGAGUAACGCGUAAUCAACCUGCCCUUCAGAGGGGGACAACAGUUGGAAACGACUGCUAAAACCGCAUACUGAAGGAGGGGACUGCGUCUGAUUAGCUAGUUGGAGGGGUAACGGCCAACCAAGGCGAUGAUCAGUAGGCGGUCUGAGAGGGUGAACGUCCACAUUGGGACUGAGGAACGGCCCAGACUCCUACGGGAGGCAGCAGUGGGGAAUCUUCCGCAAUGGACGGAAGUCUGACGGAGCAACGCCGCGUGAGUGAUGACGGCCUUCGGGGUGUAAAGCUGUGUUAAUCGGGACGCGGUACCGGAAUAGAAAGCCACGGCUAACUACGUGCCAGCCGCCGCGGUAAUUC
rnacentral:rRNA from 1 species